GCAGUCGUGGCCGAGUGGUUAAGGCGAUGGACUAGAAAGCCAUUGGGGUCUCCCCGCACAGGUUCGAAUCCUGUCGACUGCG
rnacentral:tRNA from 1 species